UACGUAGGGUGCGAGCGUUAAUCGGAAUUACUGGGCGUAAAGCGCGCGUAGGCGGCUUUGCAAGUCGGGUGUGAAAUCCCCAGGCUUAGCCUGGGAACUGCAUUCGAGACUGCAUUGCUAGAGUAUGGGAGAGGGAAGUGGAAUUUCCGGUGUAGCGGUGAAAUGCGUAGAUAUCGGAAGGAACAUCAGUGGCGAAAGCGACUUCCUGGACCAAUACUGACGCUCAUGUGCGAAAGCGUGGGGAGCAAACAGG
rnacentral:rRNA from 1 species